ACUCAAAGGAAUUGACGGGGGCCCGCACAAGCGGCGGAGCAUGCGGAUUAAUUCGAUGCAACGCGAAGAACCUUACCUGGGUUUGACAUGGCUUCAAAUACCGCAGAGAUGCGGAGUCCUUCGGGGGGAGUCACAGGUGGUGCAUGGCUGUCGUCAGCUCGUGUCGUGAGAUGUUGGGUUAAGUCCCGCAACGAGCGCAACCCUCGUUCGAUGUUGCCAGCGGGUUAUGCCGGGGACUCAUCGAAGACUGCCGGGGUCAACUCGGAGGAAGGUGGGGAUGACGUCAAGUCAUCAUGCCCCUUAUGUCCAGGGCUUCACGCAUGCUACAAUGGCCGGUACAAAGGGCUGCGAUGCCGUAAGGUGGAGCGAAUCCCAAAAAGCCGGUCUCAGUUCGGAUCGGGGUCUGCAACUCGACCCCGUGAAGUCGGAGUCGCUAGUAAUCGCAGAUCAGCAACGCUGCGGUGAAUACGUUCCCGGGCCUUGCACACACCGCCCGU
rnacentral:rRNA from 1 species